GGCGGAGGGGGCAACUCCUCCAGUCGAGCGGCGGACGGGUGAGUAACACGUGGGCAAUCUGCCCGAAAGUGGGGAAUACCCCAGGGAAACUUGGGCUAAUACCGCAUGUGAUCGCGACCUCGAAGGGGGAUGCGAUCAAAGGGGGGUCGCAAGACCUCCCGCUUUCGGAGGAGCCCGCGCCCGAUUAGCUAGUUGGUGAGGUCACGGCUCACCAAGGCUUCGAUCGGUAGCCGGCCUGAGAGGGUGAUCGGCCACACCGGAACUGAGACACGGUCCGGACUCCUACGGGAGGCAGCAGUGGGGAAUCUUGCGCAAUGGGCGAAAGCCUGACGCAGCAACGCCGCGUGAAGGAUGAAGGUCCUUGGAUUGUAAACUUCUGUCGGCCGGGAAGAAAUUCAUCGGGGUUAAUACCCCCGGUGAUUGACUGUACCGGCAAAGGAAGCCCCGGCUAACUCUGUGCCAGCAGCCGCGGUAAUACAGAGGGGGCAAGCGUUAUUCGGAAUUAUUGGGCGUAAAGGGCGCGUAGGCGGUCCAUCAAGUCUCUCGUGAAAUCCCUCGGCUUAACUGAGGACGUGCGGGAGAUACUGCUGGGCUUGAGUCCGGAAGAGGGUGGUGGAAUUCCCAGUGUAGCGGUGAAAUGCGUAGAUAUUGGGAGGAACACCGGUGGCGAAGGCGGCCACCUGGGCCGGAACUGACGCUGAGGCGCGAAAGCGUGGGGAGCAAACGGGAUUAGAUACCCCGGUAGUCCACGCCGUAAACGAUGGGCACUUGGUGUCGCGGGUAUCGACCCCCGCGGUG
rnacentral:rRNA from 1 species